CAUGUAGGCGGAUUGAUAAGUUUGAAGUGAAAUCCUAUAGCUUAACUAUAGAACUGCUUUGAAAACUGUUAAUCUAGAAUGUGGGAGAGGUAGAUGGAAUUUCUGGUGUAGGGGUAAAAUCCGUAGAGAUCAGAAGGAAUACCGAUUGCGAAGGCGAUCUACUGGAACAUUAUUGACGCUGAGAUGCGAAAGCGUGGGGAGUAAACA
rnacentral:rRNA from 1 species